rnacentral:rRNA from 1 species
UACGUAGGGGGCAAGCGUUGUCCGGAAUCAUUGGGCGUAAAGAGCGUGUAGGCGGCCAGAAAAGUCCGCUGUGGAAACUCGAGGCUCAACUUCGAGCUGUCGGUGGAAACUUUCUGGCUAGAGUCCGGAAGAGGAGAAUGGAAUUCCUGGUGUAGCGGUGAAAUGCGCAGAUAUCAGGAAGAACACCCGUGGCGAAGGCGGUUCUCUGGGACGGUACUGACGCUGGAGACGCGAAAGCGUGGGGAGCGAACAGG